AGGAGCCCCUGUGUCAGUGAAAAUCUCACUCACUCACUUCACAGGCCACACAAGCAAAUCCUGCCAGCCAAGUCCAGAGAUCUCUGCCUUGCAGGUGUGUGUGUGUGUGUGUGUGUAUAUGUGUGUGUGUGUGUGUGUGUGCAUGUAUAUGUAUGUGUGCGUCCGUGUGUGUGUGUGUGCGCGUGUGUGCGCGCGUGUGCGCGUGUGUGUUUGUGUGUGUGUGAGUGUGUGUAUGUGUGUGUGUGUGAGUAGUGCAGCAUGUAAUGUGAUAAAACACAGGUAUAUGGAGCUCUACCCUCUAAGUGACCUAAAGUAUGUGUUGACAGAUUUGCCGUCGAGGUGUGGUCCCUGCACUCAGCAUCUUGGUUAUGUGCCGAAGCUUCUAACGCUCUCCUCAUGGCAUGUGUGGUGGCAGGUCGCCCGAGACUGGCUGAGCUCUCUCUCUCUCUCUCUCUCUCUCUCUCUAUCUCUCUCUUACUCUCUCUCAGUCUAUCUCUCUCUCUCUCUCUCUCUCUCCUUUCUCUCUCUCUCUCUCUCUCUCUCGCUCUUACUCUCUCUCAGUCUAUCUCUCUCUCUCUAUCUCUCUCUCUCUCUCUUUCUCUCUCUCUCUCUUACUCUCUCUCUGACUCUCACUCUCUCUCUCACUGUCUCACAGGGAUUUGCUCUCAGUAUCUCACUAUCCCUAGCUUACUGUCAGACUGUCCAUCUCUCUUUCUCUUGCUAUCGAUCCGUCUCUGUCUGUCUUUCCUUCUGUCUCUCUUUUCCCCCUCUGUUGCUCUCCCUCUCUCCUUCUGUCUCUGUCCCCUCGUUCUCUUUCUUCCUCUCUUACUUUGAUUCUUUCUUUCAUUCCUCCUUUCUUUCUUUCACUCUCUCUCUCUUACUUCCUCUCCCUGCUAACUUGCAGUGUUGAUGGUUAUGGAUAGUGGCCAGUUCAUGCCUCUCCCCUGCAUAGAUGGGCUCAGGGACAGAGGGGAAAAGAGACAGAAAGAGAGAGAGAGAUGGAGAGACAGAGAGAGAGAGAUAGAGAGAGAGAGAGAGAGAGAGAGAGAGAGAGAGAGAAUGGGUGGGAGAAAGAGAGGGAGAAAAGAAUUUAGGGAGAGAGAGAUAGAUAGAUAGAUAGAUAGAUAGAUAGAGAGAAAGUAGUGCAAGG
rnacentral:lncRNA from 1 species